UACAGAGGUCGCAAGCGUUAAUCGGAUUUACUGGGCGUAAAGCGUGUGUAGGUGGUUGUACAAGUCGGUUGUGAAAUCCCCGGGCUCAACCUGGGAACUGCUUCCGAGACUGUGCGACUAGAGAUCGGUAGAGGGCGGUGGAAUUUCCGGUGUAGCGGCGAAAUGCGUAGAUAUCGGAAGGAACACCAAUGGCGAAGGCAGCCGCCUGGGCCUGAUCUGACACUGAGACACGAAAGCGUGGGGAUCAAACAGG
rnacentral:rRNA from 1 species